rnacentral:rRNA from 1 species
AGCGGCAGGCUUAACACAUGCAAGUCGAGGGGCGAGCACGGGUAGCAAUACCGUGGUGGCGACCGGCGCAAGGGUGCGUAACGCGUGAGCAACAUGCCCUAUACAGGGGGAUAAUCCAGGGAAACUUGGUCUAAUAUCCCAUAGUAUUUAGAGGAGGCAUCUUCUAUAAAUUAAAGCUUCGGUGGUAUAGGAUUGGCUCGCGUGACAUUAGCUAGAUGGUGAGGUAACGGCUCACCAUGGCAAUGAUGUCUAGGGGUUCUGAGAGGAAGGCCCCCCACACUGGGACUGAGACACGGCCCAGACUCCUACGGGAGGCAGCAGUGAGGAAUAUUGGACAAUGGAUGGAAAUCUGAUCCAGCCAUGCCGCGUGCAGGAAGACAGCCCUAUGGGUUGUAAACUGCUUUUAUAUGGGAGCAAUAAGGUCUACGUGUAGACUGAUGAGAGUACCAUAUGAAUAAGCAUCGGCUAACUCCGUG